rnacentral:rRNA from 1 species
GAUGAACGCUGGCGGCGUGCCUAAUACAUGCCAGUCGAGCGAACGGACGAGAAGCUUGCUUCUCUGAUGUUAGCGGCGGACGGGUGAGUAACACGUGGAUAACCUACCUAUAAGACUGGGAUAACUUCGGGAAACCGGAGCUAAUACCGGAUAAUAUUUUGAACCGCAUGGUUCAAAAGUGAAAGACGGUCUUGCUGUCACUUAUAGAUGGAUCCGCGCUGCAUUAGCUAGUUGGUAAGGUAACGGCUUACCAAGGCAACGAUGCAUAGCCGACCUGAGAGGGUGAGCGGCCACACUGGAACUGAGACACGGUCCAGACUCCUACGGGAGGCAGCAGUAGGGAAUCUUCCGCAAUGGGCGAAAGCCUGACGGAGCAACGCCGCGUGAGUGAUGAAGGUCUUCGGAUCGUAAAACUCUGUUAUUAGGGAAGAACAUAUGUGUAAGUAACUGUGCACAUCUUGACGGUACCUAAUCAGAAAGCCACGGCUAACUACGUG